AGUGAACGCUGGCGGUAGGCCUAACACAUGCAAGUCGAACGGCAGCACAGUAAGAGCUUGCUCUUACGGGUGGCGAGUGGCGGACGGGUGAGGAAUACAUCGGAAUCUACUUUUUCGUGGGGGAUAACGUAGGGAAACUUACGCUAAUACCGCAUACGACCUACGGGGGAAAGCAGGGGACCUUCGGACCUUGCGCGAUUGAAUGAGCCGAUGUCGGAUUAGCUAGUUGGCGGGGUAAAGGCCCACCAAGGCGACGAUCCGUAGCUGGUCUGAGAGGAUGAUCAGCCACACUGGAACUGAGACACGGUCCAGACUCCUACGGGAGGCAGCAGUGGGGAAUAUUGGACAAUGGGCGCAAGCCUGAUCCAGCCAUACCGCGUGGGUGAAGAAGGCCUUCGGGUUGUAAAGCCCUUUUGUUGGGAAAGAAAAGCAGCAGGUUAAUACCCCGCUGUUCUGACGGUACCCAAAGAAUAAGCACCGGCUAACUUCGUG
rnacentral:rRNA from 1 species